rnacentral:rRNA from 1 species
GCCUACCAUAACAGUCGAACGGUAACAGGAAGCAGCUUGCUGUUUUGCUGACGAGUGGCGGACGGGUGAGUAAUGUCUGGGAAACUGCCCGAUGGAGGGGGAUAACUACUGGAAACGGUAGCUAAUACCGCAUAACGUCGCAAGACCAAAGAGGGGGACCUUCGGGCCUCUUGCCAUCGGAUGUGCCCAGAUGGGAUUAGCUAGUAGGUGGGGUAACGGCUCACCUAGGCGACGAUCCCUAGCUGGUCUGAGAGGAUGACCAGCCACACUGGAACUGAGACACGGUCCAGACUCCUACGGGAGGCAGCAGUGGGGAAUAUUGCACAAUGGGCGCAAGCCUGAUGCAGCCAUGCCGCGUGUAUGAAGAAGGCCUUCGGGUUGUAAAGUACUUUCAGCGGGGAGGAAGGGAGUAAAGUUAAUACCUUUGCUCAUUGACGUUACCCGCAGAAGAAGCACCGGCUAACUCCGUGCCAGCAGCCGCGGUAAUACGGAGGGUGCAAGCGUUAAUCGGAAUUACUGGGCGUAAAGCGCACGCAUGCCGUUUGUUAACUCAGAUGUGAAAUCCCCAGGCUCAACCUGGGAACUGCAUCUGAUACUGGCAAGCUUG